rnacentral:lncRNA from 1 species
GGUAACCCCCUUGGAUCCCCUUCCACACUGUGGGAGGUUUGUUCUUUUGCUCUUUGCAAUAAAGCUUGCUGCUGCUCACUCUUUGGGUCCAGACUGUCUUUAUGAGCUAUAACACUCACCGGGAAGGUCUGCAGCUUCACUCCUGAAGCCAAGGAGACCACGAACCCACCGGGAGGAAGGAACAACUACAGACACGCCGGCUUAAGAGCUGUAGCACUCACUGCGAAGGUCCGCAGCUUCACUCUUGAGCCAGAGACCACGAACCCACCAGAAGGAAGAAACUCCAAACACAUCCGAACAUCAGAAGGAAAAAACUCCAGACACGCCGCCUUUAAGAACUGCAACACUGCGAGGGUCCGCGGCUUCAUUCUUGAAGUCAGUGAGACCAAGAACCCACCAAUUCCAGACACACUACCAAAGGCAGAGGGGAGCUCCUAGACAAAGAGACAAGGUCUUGCUCUGUCACCCUGGCUGGUCUUGAACUCCUGGCUUCAAGCAAUUCAUCCAUCUCAGCCUCCUGAGUAGCUGGGAUUACAGGCUGGAGUGUAGUGGUACGAUCUUGGCUUACUGCAACCUCCACCUCCUGGGUUCAAGCGGCCCUGUCAUCUCAGCCUCCUGAGUAGCUGGGGUUACAGAGCUCCUUUCUGACAACUUGCAAUUGAUCCAACAUUUGAAACCUUAUGCAGGAGCCGGACAGCUUGGUUUUGAAUUAUAAUCUUACAAAUUACUGGCUGUGUGUUAAAUCUUUAAAUUACUGGCUGUGUGACUUUGUGUAAGUACCUUCACUUCUCUGUGCCUUAGUUUAUGUUAUGUAAAAGGUAUGAUAAUAGUAUCUAUCUUGGAAUUUAGUUUUUAAAUAUAAAAUUUAUAUAUCUACAACAGCUGAAUAAGUGUUAUCUAUCUUUAUUACCAUUGCAAUUAUUAUUAUAAUUAUUUGUAUAUGUCGGGCUCAUAAAGCUCUUAGCUUUGCAAAACUGUCUGAGAAAGUUUGCUUUUCUUUGCAUUCAUUGGGAAAUUAACUUUUCUACACAAUAAUGUUUUUAAGGCAUGGACCUGUAAAAUGUUUAAUUGGUGUGGCUUCAAAGUAUAGAAAUUGUAAAGUAGGAAAUAAUUAUACACAACUAUCAAACCAAUAAUAAAGGUCAAUAAAUAUUCAAACAGUAUUAAUAUAA